rnacentral:lncRNA from 1 species
GAGAGUGCAUUAAGAGGGGAUAUCUUUGUAUUCUUAUGGAUAUGUGCUUCCUUUUGCCUUGUAUGCAUUGGAAGGGUUGUUCGGGUAUUGAACCUUCCUUGUGUGUGGGUGAAGGUGUCUUCCUUGUCCUCGUGUAGUAGGAUUACAUGUUCCUUAGCUAGAUUUUGGGACUACUUGAACGUAUCUGUAUGAGGAAUCUACAAAUUGGGUUGUA